rnacentral:rRNA from 1 species
GCUUACGGCCACACCGCCUGGUUCACGCCCGAUCUCGUUUGAUCUCGGAAGCUAAGAUAGGGAGGGCCUGGUUAGUACUUGGAUGGGGAGACUGCCUGGGAAUACCAGGUAUUGUAAGAU